UUCAGAUUCAGUUUGCUGCUGAUUUGGGAAGCUGCAAAGUCGCGCCUUAAUUGAUAAUUAUAAAUGCCAUCCGCUCGCCUAUCGGAACUCGGUGAAUAGAAGCGCCAGAGCCAGCAAAUUUGCAUGCUCCUUGGACUUUAUGGACUUCAAUACAAUUAUUUACGCACAUGCUUCUCGCUUUGGAUUUUUAACUCUCUUUGGAUUUUCUUGUCGGCUUAUGGAAAGUUUUAAUGAACAAAACCAUCUCAAGGAAUCAAUAUUGUCUUAGAUCAAGUGUGAAGUGGAUUAUCAAAUGAUCGAAAGGCAUCCCUAGAAAAUCUAUUUGAAAUAGAGACAGGAUAAGCUCUCAUAAGGCACACCAAAGCUUUAAAUCAAGUAAAUCCUUUGCCAAAUAAUGUCCCAUUUUGGACUCGCUGACAAAUUAGGGACUACAACGAGCUCCAAGGACCUUUACGAAGGAUAAUGCAGAUUUUUCCAGGAUUGGACUUCAAUUAAGCCGGAUUUAGUUAUUUUACGUUAAAAUUAGCUAAAAUUGUAAUUUAUGCUCGAUUUGUAUAGUUUUAAGAGAAAAAUUUAAGAAUAUAAUGUUAAAAAGAACAAAAUUUAUAAA